AAUAAUAAAGUAGUACUCAGCGCUUUUUUCAGACCCUUUAACAUAGCUUCACGUCUUGGUUAUUCAAUUAUCAAGGUCAUCCCGUCUUAUGGCGGCAUUCUGCUAAAUAUAUCAGGUAAUAUUACCAUAUAACAGGUACUGACAAGUGAAAAUUUGGGUCAUGCCCUACUUUUUCAUGUAAACAAAAAAUGUUCACAAAAUAUGUAUAUCGUUUCACAAAACUUUCGUACUGUGCACCAGUGCCACUUAAUUUUGCUUCCUUGGAUGGAUGCAAUGUAGAUAUUUAUAUUCGAGAACGGCAUAAAUACGCAAGUUUCAACACCAUAGGUAGGCUAGUAAUUGAAACUCGAGAACCAGUAUUCGUAUGGCAAUUGGCGGCCAUCUUCUCAAAAUGCUCAAUGGAUACACACUUGUUAACCACUAGAAAAGUAUGAAAGAAUUUAUGAGGAUGUCACAAACAAUGAGAAACAAACCAAAUUAAUUAUUUUUAUUUUACAAUGAACCCUAUGGCAAAUGACA